rnacentral:rRNA from 1 species
UACGGGGGGAGCAAGCGUUGUUCGGAUUUACUGGGCGUAAAGGGCGCGUAGGCGGCCAGCACAAGUCAGUUGUGAAAUCUCCGAGCUUAACUCGGAAAGGUCAACUGAUACUGUGCGGCUAGAGUGCGGAAGGGGCAACUGGAAUUCUUGGUGUAGCGGUGAAAUGCGUAGAUAUCAGGAGGAACACCGGUGGUGUAGACGGCUUUCUGGACCGUAACUGACGCUGAGACACGAAAGCGUGGGUAGCAAACAGG